CUUUAGCACAAUCACAACACCAUUAACUGAAAUCGUUAAGAAAAGCGUAGGUUUUCACUGGGGGAAAACACAAGAACUUGCAUUUAAUACCACUAAGGAUAAAUUGUGUAAAGCACUCAUUUUGGCAUUACCUAACUUUGAUAAAACGUUUGAGAUUGAGUGUGAUGCAUCAGGGAUAGGUAUUGGAGCAGUGUUAAUGCAAGAAAGGAAACCUAUUGCUUACUUUAGCAAGAAGUUGAGUGGAGCUGCAUUGAACUACCUAACGUAUGACAAGGAGCUGUAUUCCAUUGUUUGAGCAUUGGAGACUUGGCAGCAUUACUUGGGGCCUAAGGAAUUCAUGAUACACACCAAUCAUGAGUCCCUAAAGCACUUAAGGGGUUAAAGUAAGUUGAACAAGCGACAUGCAAGGUGGAUGGAAUUCAUAGAGACGUUUCCAUACGUCAUCAGGUAUAAGCAAUGUAAUGAAAACGUAGUUGCAGAUGCAUUGUCACGAAGGUACGUGCUUCUUAACUCUUUAAGUGCGAAAUUACUUGGUUUUGAGCAUAUUAAGAGCAUGUAUGAAAAUGACAUUGAUUUUUUAAACAUUUAUAAUUCAUGUACUAAAAUGGCUGUUGAUAAAUUUUAUAGACAUGAAGGAUAUUUGUUUUGAGAAGAUAGGUUGUGCAUUUCAAAUUGUUCAAUGCGUGAAUUAUUGGUAAGGGAAGCACACAGUGGGGGUCUAAUGGGUCAUUUUGGGAUUCAAAAGACUUUAAUAUGUUAGGGGAACACUUUUAUUGGCCUAAAAUGUGUAGUCACGUAGAACGAAUUUGUGAGAAGUGCAUAACUUGUAAACUGGCUAAAUCAAAAGUUUUACCCCAUGGCUUGUAAACACCUUUACCUGUGCCUAGUGAAUCUUGGGUAGAUAUUUCUAUGGAUUUCGUGUUGGGGUUACCUAGGACAAAGAAAGGUCGGGAUUCUAUCUUUGUAGUGGUUGAUAGGUUUAGUAAAAUGGCAUACUUCAUACCAUGUCACAAAAUUGAUGACGCCAUUAACAUUGCUG
rnacentral:lncRNA from 1 species